GAUGAACGCUGACAGAAUGCUUAACACAUGCAAGUCAACUGUGGCGGACGGGUGAGUAACGCGUAAAGAACUUGCCUUCCAGCUAGGGACAACAUUUGGAAACGAAUGCUAAUACCUGAUACUGUGAGAGAGCGUUGCGUCCCAUUAGCUAGUUGGAGAGGUAACGGCUCAACAAGGCGAUGAUGUGUAGCCGGCCUGAGAGGGUGAUCGGCCACAAGGGGACUGGGACACGGCCCUUACUCCUACGGGAGGCAGCAGUGGGGAUUAUUGGACAAUGGACCAAAGUCUGAUCCAGCAAUUCUGUGUGUACGAUGAAGUUUUCGGAAUGUAAAGUGCUUUCAGUUGGGAAGCGUUCCCUACUGAAGAAGUGACGGCUAAAUACGUGCCAGCAGCCGCGGUAAUAC
rnacentral:rRNA from 1 species